rnacentral:lncRNA from 1 species
UCGCUGCUUGGUCAGUUAGUCUUGGUUUCAAAUGCAUUACGCAUAGGUUCAGUCAGUGGUUUCAAGCAAAGCAGAGCAUUGCAGAGCUAAACAGAUGAAGCUCCAUUACAGGAUUUAUCAACCUUUAAAAAACAAUAACAACAACAAAAAAUUACACAUGUGCUUGUUUAUUUAGUUGUUUUACUGUUGAAUGAAGUGCUCUUGCACUUGUGUGGUUACAAACCGCAUGUUGAGCCAUGUUUGCCUGGAUUUGCAUGUGUUUGUCCACUUAAGUAGUAAUGCUAAUGUGGUUGACACACAAAAAAUGAGUACAGCAGAGAGCAGUUGUAGGUUACCUAGAUAAGUUUGUGGUUCUCUACAGGCAGGCCCGUGGGCUUGGUACUGACUGCUAAUCAGUUAUGUUACCUUGUUUUAAAUAAUAAGAAAAGAUAUACAGCUUUUUGCAUAUCAGACAUGCCAAAUGCAUCUUUUAACACACAUUUAUUACAUAUAAUUUAUGGGUACUUUAAUUAUUUAUUCUUUUAUGUUUUAUUUGUAUGUUGUCAUCCACAGAGCUGUCUGCCUUAAAGAUUCAAAACAAGCUGCUGGGUAAAUGUCUGCAGGUUACAGAAGGAACUGAAGGAGGUAGAGUGUCACUGGGCGAAUGCAGCCCACACUCACCUUUACAGGAAUGGCGUUGGCACCAAGAGAGCCAGACUGUCAGCAACUACCACACUGGAGAAUGUCUGACUGCACCACAAGAACAAUAUGAAGGUGUUCACCUGCAGCCCUGUGUCUUCAGAACUGCAAGUAGCAAGGAUGGUGAUAGAAAAGAGCCAGGAAGACAGGUAUGGACAUGCUCCAGAAAAGGCCACCUCACUGUGGUUGGGAAGGGGCUCCACCUUACUGCUACAAAAGAAUCCACUUUGGUCUUCCUUUCAAGAGGACAUAAGAAGAAGCAGGGCAGCAGGUGGAGAACACUUGACAGCCAGAUGCUAUGCAAUGGGAAAACCAGGCAACAUAAAAAUAUCAAUCCUCACCUACAUCUGGGGGAAUCGUUGGAACCAGAGAUUCUUUUCAGUUAUAUCUCUGAUGUAUACAGACAGGAUGAAACAGAUCUCCUGGAAAAUGGCUAUGGUGGUGUUAAGUUUAUUGUCUCUGUUCCUGGGGAGUCUGACUCUUUUCUUCGGUAUUUACGCUGAUAGGUAAGUGGCUAAAACACAUAAAUCAUGCAUUAUUUAUAUAGAUUCACUAUUGGAAUAAAA